rnacentral:rRNA from 1 species
AUUGAACGCUGGCGGCAGGCCUAACACAUGCAAGUCGAACGGUAACAGGAAGAAGCUUGCUUCUUUGCUGACGAGUGGCGGACGGGUGAGUAAUGUCUGGGAAACUGCCUGAUGGAGGGGGAUAACUACUGGAAACGGUAGCUAAUACCGCAUAACGUCGCAAGACCAAAGAGGGGGACCUUCGGGCCUUUUGCCAUCGGAUGUGCCCAGAUGGGAUUAGCUAGUAGGUGGGGUAACGGCUCACCUAGGCGACGAUCCCUAGUUGGUCUGAGAGGAUGACCAGCCACACUGGAACUGAGACACGGUCCAGACUCCUACGGGAGGCAGCAGUGGGGAAUAUUGCACAAUGGGCGCAAGCCUGAUGCAGCCAUGCCGCGUGUAUGAAGAAGGCCUUCGGGUUGUAAAGUACUUUCAGCGGGGAGGAAGGGAGUAAAGUUAAUACCUUUGCUCAUUGACGUUACCCGCAGAAGAAGCACCGGCUAACUCCGUG